GGGGAUAAGCUUCAUAGUCGAGAGGGAAACAGCCCAGAUCGCCGGUUAAGGCCCCUAAGGGUGUGCUAAGUGGAAAAGGAUGUGGGAUCGCGAAGACAGCCAGGAGGUUGGCUUAGAAGCAGCCAUCCUUGAAAGAGUGCGUAAUAGCUCACUGGUCGAGUGGUUCUGCGCCGACAAUGUAGUGGGGCUCAAGCACACCGCCGAAGCCGCGGCAAUAAUAUUUUGUUAUUGGGUAGGGGAGCGUCGUGCAUGUGUUGAAGCGUUACCGUGAGGAGGCGUGGAGUGUGUGCGAGUGAGAAUGCAGGCAUGAGUAACGAAUUGGAAGGUGAGAAUCCUUCCCGCCGGAUGACUAAGGGUUCCUGGGUCAAGUUCGUCUUCCCAGGGUGAGUCGGGACCUAAGGCGAGGCCGACAGGCGUAGUCGAUGGAUAACCAGUUGAUAUUCUGGUACCCGAGUAUAUGCGCCCCUGAUAAAGCACUGAUACUAACCACCGUGCGUUACUGUGAUUAGCCUUCGGGUUAACAUGGUGGCAAGCCGUGGGGCCUGAUGUGUGGUUCAAGCGAUGGGGUGACACAGUGGGGUAGCCAUGCCGCUUAGUGGAUUGUUGGUGUAAGCGUGUAGGUGAUGGUGUAGGUAAAUCCGCACUUGUUAUGCUGAGACGUGAUGCGUAGCCUUAAUUGGUGAAGUUGGUGAUCCCGUACUGUCGAGAAAAGCCUCUAGCGAUGUAUAUACUCGGCCCGUACCCCAAACCGACACAGGUAGUCAGGUUGAAAAUACUAAGGCGUUCGGGUGAACUGUGGUUAAGGAACUCGGCAAAAUGCCCCCGUAACUUCGGGAGAAGGGGGACCCUAUGGCGUGAACACCCAUUUGCGGUGGGAAGCGUUGUGGGGUCGCAGAGAAUAGAGGGAAGCGACUGUUUAUCAAAAACACAGGUCCAUGCGAAGACGUUAAGUUGAUGUAUAUGGACUGACGCCUGCCCGGUGCUGGAAGGUUAAGAGGACCGGUUAAUCAAGCUUUGCUUGGUGAAGCUGAGAAUUUAAGCCCCAGUAAACGGCGGUGGUAACUAUAACCAUCCUAAGGUAGCGAAAUUCCUUGUCGGGUAAGUUCCGACCUGCACGAAUGGCGUAACGACUUCCCUGCUGUCUCAACCACAGGCCCGGUGAAAUUGCACUACGAGUAAAGAUGCUCGUUACGCGCGGCAGGACGAAAAGACCCCGGGACCUUCACUAUAGCUUGGUAUUGGUGUUCGGUUCGGUUUGUGUAGGAUAGGUGGGAGACUAUGAGGCGUGUGCGCCAGCACGCGUGGAGUCGUUGUUGAAAUACCACUCUGAUCGGAUUGGAUACCUUAACCUUGGCCCAUGAUCUGGGUUGGGGACAGUGCCUGGUGGGUAGUUUAACUGGGGCGGUUGCCUCCCAAAAUGUAACGGAGGCGCCCAAAGGUUCCCUCAGCCUGGUUGGCAAUCAGGUGGUGAGUGUAAGUGCACAAGGGAGCUUGACUGUGAGAGUGACAGCUCGAACAGGGACGAAAGUCGGGACUAGUGAUCCGGCACCUACUUGUGGAUGUGGUGUCGCUCAACGGAUAAAAGGUACCCCGGGGAUAACAGGCUGAUCUUCCCCAAGAGUCCAUAUCGACGGGAUGGUUUGGCACCUCGAUGUCGGCUCGUCGCAUCCUGGGGCUGGAGUAGGUCCCAAGGGUUGGGCUGUUCGCCCAUUAAAGCGGCACGCGAGCUGGGUUCAGAACGUCGUGAGACAGUUCGGUCUCUAUCCGCCGCGCGCGUUGAAACUUGAAGAAGGCUGUCCCUAGUACGAGAGGACCGGGACGGACGUACCUCUAGUGUGCCAGUUGUUCCGCCAGGAGCAUCGCUGGUUGGCUACGUACGGAAGGGAUAACCGCUGAAAGCAUCUAAGCGGGAAGCCUGUUUUAAGAUGAGGUUUCAUUUGAGGUCCCCUAAAGACUAUGGGGUUGAUAGGCCAGACAUGGAAGCACCGCAAGGUGUGGAGUCUACUGGUACUAAUA
rnacentral:rRNA from 1 species